rnacentral:rRNA from 1 species
GAUGAACGCUAGCGGCAGGCCUAAUACAUGCAAGUCGAACGGUGUCUUCGGACAUAGUGGCGCACGGGUGCGUAACACGUAUGCAACCUACCUUACAUUGGGGGAUAGCCUUUCGAAAGGGAGAUUAAUACCGCAUAAGAACGUAGCUGGGCAUCCAGCAGCUGUUAAAGAUUUAUCGAUGUAAGCUGGGCAUGCGUCCAAUUAGCUAGUUGGUGAGGUAACGGCUCACCAAGGCAAUGAUUGGUAGGGGAACUGAGAGGUCAAUCCCCCACACUGGCACUGAGAUACGGGCCAGACUCCUACGGGAGGCAGCAGUAGGGAAUAUUGGGCAAUGGACGCAAGUCUGACCCAGCCAUGCCGCGUGCAGGAUGAAGGCGUUAUGCGUUGUAAACUGCUUUUAUACAGGAAGAAACGACUCUUGCGAGAGGCAUUGACGGUACUGUAUGAAUAAGCACCGGCUAACUCCGUGCCAGCCGCCGCCGUAAUAC